AACAGAGCUGUUCUAAACAGAGUGCGAAGCGUUCCAUAGCGCUCCGUCCUCCGCGGGUUUGGGAAACGUGUUCCAUCCAUGCGUUUUUCUUCUUUCCCUUGACAUGUGCCGGUGCAACAGAUCGUCUGUGCAAUGGAAUGUUCUGAGUUUUUCAGUCACAUCUGUUGUGAAAAAGCAUGGAGUGUGAAGUGGUAGGAUUUUUGCAUAGAUGGAAGAGAUUAUUCCAAAAUCUACACUGAUCUUGUGGAGAACUUACUUUUCAGGUGUGAUUAGAAAUAUCAGCAGUGCAAUUUCAAAAAGUUUUAUAAUUUGAAAGUUAUAUACUAAUUUUUUGUGGAGAACUUUUCUUUCAGGUGCGAUCAGAAAUAUCAGCAGUUGCAGAAGUGCAAUUUCAAAAAGCUUUAUAAUUUGAAAGCUAUACACUGAUGUUGUGGAUAACUUACUUUUCAGGCGUGAUCAGAAAUAUCAGCAGUGCAAUUUCAAAGAGCUUUAUAAUUUGAAAGCUAUACACUGAUCUUGUGGAUAACUUACUUUUCAGGCGUGAUCAGAAAUAUCAGCAGUGCAAUUGCAAAUAGUUUUAUAAUUUGAAAGCUAUACACGAUCUUGUGGAUAACUUACUUUUCAGGCGUGAUCAGAAAUAUCAGCAGUGCAAUUGCAAAUAGUUUUAUAAUUUGAAAGUUGUAUCAGAGAAUUGAAGAUAUGAAAAGUACUUGCUGUGAAUAAUUGUUUGAGAAUUGAUGAUAAAAAAAAAGUUACUAGCAAUGAAUAACUGUAUUUGACGAUAUGAAAGUUACUAGCUGAGAAUAACUAACUCAGAGUUGAUUAUAUAAAGUUACUAACUGUGAAUAAUUGUUUGAGAAUUGAUGAUAAAAAAAGGUUACUAGCUAUAAACAACUGGAUUGGACGAUAUAAAAGUUACUAGCUGAGAAUAACUAAGUCAGAGUUGAUUAUAUAAAAAUUACUAACUGAAUACUUAAUUGAUAAUUGACGAUUGAAAAGUUACUUGCUGUGAAUAACUAACUCAGAAUUGAUAUAAAAGUUACAAGCUGUGAAUAACUAACUCGGAAUUGAUAUAAAAGUAACUGAUUGUAAAUAACCUAGAAAUAAAUGAUGAAAAAUUACUAGCCGUGAAAAACUAACCUAAUACAUAAGUUAAUAGUCGUGAAAAUAAACUGAGGAUUGGUGAUAUAAAAAUUGUUAAAUGAAAUUGAGUUCCCAAUAAAGAACGCAUUAAAUCGGAAUUCAAGUAUUUUUUCCAUCACGUCAGAAAAGUGACCAAACUUUCGAGGGAAAAUUAUAGUUUUUAGAACAACAAAAUGAAAUUUUGCAACUUAUUAUUUUUUACGGUAAGAGAAAACGCUAAAACUGAAGAAAUGACUAUUAAAUAGUUUUUUUGCUGUCAAGUAGGUGAACUUGAAUCAAGCGGAAAACUACUUUUGUAGUAUCAAAAGUAUGACCAGAAGAAGAGAAAAAAAAAAAAGUUGAACUAUUAAUGAAUAAUAAAUACAUAUGCUGAUUCGCAUCUGUGGCAUAUUAAUAAUAGCUGAAAUAAGAAUCACAAAUUACCAACAAAAACUGAGAAAAACGUUCCUCUGUCCCUGCUUAAUAGAAUUUCAUUGUGUACUAGCCCUUCAUGUGCCUAUUAUAAAAGAUACGUUAUGGAUUUCGUCCAGAACUGUUUACACUGCGUUUUGUAAAGUGUUGUGGAUUAAACGCUCUAAAGAUAACAGAAGAAUACAGCCUUCAAGUUUCUUUCGCAAACAUUGCAAAACAAAGAUGAUCUUUCAAGACGUAAAGUGAAACAUGUGAUUUCUUUCAACAUUUGCAUAAAAAAGUUGGCAAUGGAAGGAAACUCGUUUGAAGAUGUGAACGUUAAAAACAUCUGAUGUACGGCUAGCAUAGGAGGAAAGUUUGUCGGAAUGAAAAACCAGAUUCUGAUGAAGGAAAAAGAAAGAAAAAAAUAAAACUCGCAUCUGUGCAAUUUACAAGAUAAGAUAAACUAUGGUUUUUAAGAGAAGCGAACGGCAAUCAUGUAUGAAAGGAUUUCCACGUCGUUUUUUUCGAAGACACUUUUAAGUUACAAAUUAGAAACUUGAUCUGAGAGGGAACGAAAUCUACGGAACUUGGACGACUUAGAGCGUGAGGAGGAAUAACGAACACUUUGUAUAAUGAGGUGGAAAAAUGAUGCACGUGUAGGAAGAAGACAUUACUACAACGGAGGAGCAUAAUCGAGAAUAGAAUUAAAUUGAAAAAGAGAGAAGGAAAUGAGAAAGUUCGGACCACAACGGGAAGCAGGUUUUCUCACGAAACUGAUGUCCUGAGCUGUAAAAAUUAUGGAUGACGACUGAGUGGUACUGGCUCUAAUUACGUCGCAGUAUAGCUGCUGGGAGAAGCAAGGAGGUAAAAAGUCACUGCAACGAUACAAAUGGUAAGUACAAAAAUAGCACAACGCUGAUGGACCGCACUAAUUGGAACCCCCAUCAAUUCGGAUUUGUGUAUGACAAACUAAAUAUGCAUUUAAAAGAAAACUUCACUUACAGUGAGGAAAAAUGGUUUAGGUAUACUUCACUAACAGUUUAACUGCUGAAGAAUUUUCUUGCGAAUAAAAUGCGUAGUUUUUUUUUUUUUUUUUUUUUUUUUUUACAGAUGAGGGGGCUCCGCCACCAGCUCGCUGACGCUCACCAAACUCCAAAGAUUGCUUCGCAAUCUUAUUUGCUUUGCAAAGAUUUAUACCGUCGAUUAGAAAGCAUCAGAUUAAACAAAGCAUUACGAGUUUUGUUUCGAACAAAAUGAAAAUCCCCCUUUCCCUUCCAUAGAAAAUAGAAUUUGAGUAAAAAACUCACAAUUAUAAUACAA